UAAGGAGUGUGUAACAACUCACCUACCGAAUGAACUAGCCCUGAAAAUGGAUGUCGCUAAGCAGCCAGCCGAUACCCUGCUGUCCAGCUUGAUGACAGUUGGACAGGUAGGAGGGCGUGGAGGCAGCGCAGAAGGCUCUGUGUGGACAGGGUUGGAGCUACCUCUAGUGCAGAUCUUGGUGGUAGUAGCAACUAUUCAAAUGAGAACUUUGAAGACUGAAGUGGAGAAGGGUUUCAUGAGAACAGCAAUUGGUCAUGAGUGACUCGGUCCUGAGGCCAGGGGUAAUCCCGCGACGACAUCGUCCAGGCCGAAAGGGAAUGUAGUUAAAAUUCUACAAGCAGGCGGUGGGUAUUGAGUGGCAACACAACUGAACUCAAAGACGUCGGGGCGAGGUCCUGGGGAGAGUUCUCUUUUCUUCUUAACAAAUCGCUGCCCUGGAGGUCUUUGCGACGAGAGAGGGCUAUCGGUUUGGAAGAGCAGCACACCCUUUGUGCUGUCCGGUGCACCUCCUUCGGCCCUUGAAAAUUUGAGGGAAAUCUUAUCGCUCGCCUGGCCGUACCCAUAACCGCAUCAGGUCUCCAAGGUUAGCAGCCUCUAGUACGUAGAACAAUGUAGAUAAGGGAAUUCGGCAAAUUAGAUCUGUAACUUUGGGAAAAAGAUUGGCUCUGAGGGCCAGGUCUUGGGCCUUCUGACCUCUUCAUAGCUUCGCAGGAAGGGGCGACCUGACCAGUGUUAGCGACUGUUGAGCCAGGAGUAACCCAGGACAGCGAAUGGCUAACUCAGAACUGGAGCAGCGAGGGGAAUCCGACUGUUUAAUUAA
rnacentral:rRNA from 13 species